CUCAGUCACAAAAACCCUAAGAACUCUGAAAUCCAAAGCACCAUCAGUGGAUAUUUGAGCUAUCUACCUCGAAACCAUUGUAAAGAAAUCAAAAUACAUGUGAAAGUUGAUAUAAGCUUUACAAAUGUGAAGCCUUAUACCAUAAGCAGGU